UGGUGAUAUAACUCAUUAACUAAAUAUAAUAAAGACCUAUGGUCUUUUGAUUUGAGGUCCUUGGUUUAUGACCUUGAAAUUGAUCUCAAGGUCAUAGCUUAAUUUGACGUUCUAGAUUUUGACCUUUGCUUUUAUUCUAUAUGUAUACAUGAUAAAGAUAUACAACUUUUAGAAAAAGAUAUCAAACCAUUUAACCUUGAAAAAAAC
rnacentral:lncRNA from 1 species